CAAAUUUAUUGCGACUCGAAACGAAUUAACAUUGAACGUGAAUGCGGUCCGAGUACAUUUUUAUUAAUUUGAAGCGCGAAUUAAAUUUUAUUUUCAAAUUAACAAAUUUAUUGCGACUGAAACGAAUUAACAUUGAACGUGAAUGCGGUCCGAGUACAUUUUAAUUAAUUUGAAGCGCGAAUUAAAUUUUAUUUUCAAAUUAACAAAUUUAUUGCGACUCGAAACGAAUUAACAUUGAACGUGAAUGCGGUCCGAGUACAUUUUUAUUAAUUUGAAGCGCGAAUUAAAUUUUAUUUUCAAAUUAACAAAUUUAUUGCGACUGAAACGAAUUAACAUUGAACGUGAAUGCGGUCCGAGUACAUUUUAAUUAAUUUGAAGCGCGAAUUAAAUUUUAUUUUCAAAUUAACAAAUUUAUUGCGACUCGAAACGAAUUAACAUUGAACGUGAAUGCGGUCCGAGUACAUUUUUAUUAAUUUGAAGCGCGAAUUAAAUUUUAUUUUCAAAUUAACAAAUUUAUUGCGACUCGAAACGAAUUAACAUUGAAACGUGAAUGCGGUCCGAGUACAUUUUUAUUAAUUUGAAGCGCGAAUUAAAUUUUAUUUUCAAAUUAACAAAUUUAUUGCGACUCGAAACGAAUUAACAUUGAAACGUGAAUGCGGUCCGAGUACAUUUUUAUUAAUUUGAAGCGCGAAUUAAAUUUUAUUUUCAAAUUAACAAAUUUAUUGCGACUCGAAACGAAUUAACAUUGAAACGUGAAUGCGGUCCGAGUACAUUUUUAUUAAUUUGAAGCGCGAAUUAAAUUUUAUUUUCAAAUUAACAAAUUUAUUGCGACUCGAAACGAAUUAACAUUGAACGUGAAUGCGGUCCGAGUACAUUUUUAUUAAUUUGAAGCGCGAAUUAAAUUUUAUUUUCAAAUUAACAAAUUUAUUGCGAAUCGAAACGAAUUAACAUUGAAACGUGAAUGCGGUCCGAGUACAUUUUUAUUAAUUUGAAGCGCGAAUUAAAUUUUAUUUUCAAAUUAACAAAUUUAUUGCGACUCGAAACGAAUUAACAUUGAACGUGAAUGCGGUCCGAGUACAUUUUUAUUAAUUUGAAGCGCGAAUUAAAUUUUAUUUUCAAAUUAACAAAUUUAUUGCGACUGAAACGAAUUAACAUUGAACGUGAAUGCGGUCCGAGUACAUUUUAAUUAAUUUGAAGCGCGAAUUAAAUUUUAUUUUCAAAUUAACAAAUUUAUUGCGACUCGAAACGAAUUAACAUUGAACGUGAAUGCGGUCCGAGUACAUUUUUAUUAAAUUAUUGGGUCGCGAAUUCAACUUUAAUUUCGAAUUAACAAAUUUAUUCCGAGUCGAAACGAAUUAACAUUGAACUUGAAUGCCGUCAAAGUACACUUUUAUUAAAUUAUUGGGUCGCGGAUUAAACUUUAAUUUUAAAUUAACAAAUUUAUUGCGAAACGAAACAAAUUAACACUGAACUUGAAUGCAAUUAAAGUACACUUUUAUUAAAUUGAUUCGCGAAUUAAACUUUAAUUUCAAAUUUAGAAUUAAACCAAAUUUAGGUAAGUGGUUGAAAUAAUUUGAAUGCAAUGAAGGAGCUGUUUACAGCAAGCGAUUUAAAUUUUAUUUCAAAAUUGAAUUAAAUUUAUAUUAAUUUGUUUCGUUUCAUCAAGUGAUUUCACAAUUAACAGCUAACGAUUUAAAUUUGAAAACUUCGUUUUCAUUCUCGAUUUAAUUUUAACUAAAUAAAAUUUUAGUUUGCUUUUGUUAAUUCUCGAAAUGGGAAUACGUUUGUAAAGUUCCCAAUUUAAAUUUAAACAAAUUAAAAUGAAAACGAAUUAUUUUACUUCAGAGUUUGAAUUUGUAGAUACGGAAAUCAUAUAACUGGUUUUUUGCUACUGCUGUUUUUGUAGCAUCAUUGGCCUGACAUUAAUUUCAUAAAUUUUUAACCUCAUUUGAGGCGUUGUGUAUCGAAAAAAUAUUUUGAAAAACAAAGGCUUUUUGAAGUUACUUAAACAUCAGUAUCAUCUUAACGGAGGUGUGCUUAACGAUUCGAACUUGGAAUUCACUGCAAUUAUUUUGUCUUCUAUUUGUUAAACUAUUGUUAAAUUUUAAAUUCAACAAAUUAACAAAGGGAAGUAUGUACUUUGAAAGAAAAUAGGUUUAAAGUACACGUGUUCUUAUAUCUAGUAUAACAUUUUUUUACACCGCUACUGAAAGCAGCCAACAAAAUUCUGAUUUUUACCGCGUCUUGUCUUUUCUUGUUUUCAAUUUACUUUCACUGUGUACCUAUUGUUUAUCUCACACAUUUUUCACUUUAUCUUUUCUUCUCUCUCUCCCCUCUUUGUUUCUUUCUUUCUCUUUUUUUUCUUCUUUUUCUUCUUCCUCAUAUGAACGCUUAAAACGGGAAUAGAUGUAACCGCAGAUGCUGACUGACUGCAGUCAAUUCAAUUUGUUUCCAAUUCAUUGAAGAAAAAGCUAUGAAUGCAAUUUUACUUAUGAGAUAUUUUCCUCACUCCAGGUAAUUUUUUGCUUGCGUCAUCAUCGCCUACUGGGCCAACCGGGGAUUUUAAAUUAAUCCACAUUGUUGCAUCGAAAACAAAUGGUCUCGUGGCAUGGUGCUGAACCAUUGGGAAAAGGAAACUAUCUGAUGGUUAUAAUAGAAGACAUAAUUGAACGUCGCUCCAACUCAUGGCAUGUUGGGGGAAAAGUGGAGGAAAUAAUAAAAAAAACUGGAUUCGGUGGAACUGACUGAUCUAAUUAUGAUUUCUUAAAAGUGGGUUAGUAUGAUUCUCUUGAAUAAGUGGGCACUGAUUAUUUUCCUAUGACUAAAUUUUAUCAAAAUUGAUCAAAAAAAAAAAAUUGCAAACCCCUAGAUUUGUUAAUGUAUCAAUGGUGUACUAAGCUCGUAGUAAAAUCGAAUAAAGACUCGAUCUCAUUAAUUUGAGUGUGUUAGUCGUGCUGAUGCUCCUCGAUAGACACAUACCUAUAAACGGUAUUAGCUGUCGUGCAAAUACAUAUCUUAGAUAUGUAGAGGAGAUGCUGCGAGCAUAAAAUAGUACACUAAAUACAGGCAUUUUCUAGGAUGGCUUUGCAUUCAUUAAAAAAAUCAAAAAUAUACACAAACUAUAAAAAAAAAUAAAAAAUAAACAAAAUAAAAAAUAAAAAAUAAAAAAAAAUAAAAAAUAAAAAAUAAAAAAAAAAAUAAAAAAUAAAAAAAAUGGUCGCAAAAGGAAAUUAAUCAUUGCCUGUUUAUUUAAGAGAAUUGCUUAGGUGCCCAAGAAUCAUAAUUAGAUCGGUCAAUUUCAUCGAGUCCGCCUCUGCUUUUCUCCCGUUUGCCAUGAGUUUGAGUGGCGUUCCCGUCUUCUAUUAUAAUCAUCACACUGUUUCCUUUUCCUGGUGGUGUCUGCACUGUGCCAGGAGACCAUUGCUUUCGAUGCUUCAUUGUGGACAAAUUUAAAAUCACCAACUGGCCUAUUUAGCCGAUUAUGACAUAAGCAAGAAUUAUUUGGUCUGAGAAUAAAAUAUUUCAUGGGUAAUGCGCAUUUAUAAUUUUUUCUUGUUGUUUUUUUAAUGGUGUCACAUUAUCAUCACAGUCAUCAACUGCUUUCUCAUUUAUUUCCACUUUAAGCGAUUUUUUGUCAAUAUUUUGUUAAUUUAAUGAAUUUGGUGGCUGAUUUCGGUAGCGGAUUUUUUUAUAAGUCUUUGGUCUUCUUUAGCUAUUAUUAUAAUAAUGUACAUACUUUCCUUUAUAAUAAAUAUAUAGAUUCAAGUAAGAAUUUUUUAAACAUUACUAUUUGUCCAUUUCGGAAGCGAAAUAAAAACAGUGAAUUAAAUUUUAAUUCAGUCUUUUAUAAACCGACCCUUAGUUUAUUUGUUUAUUAAUCGAGGUUGUGGGUUUGUUAAUUUUGCGUUUUAGAAGAUUUAUUAUUUAUGGUUUAUUUUUUAACAUUAUUUAUAGAUUGGGUUUAUUUGUUUUUCCAUUAUUGGUGUGGGUGUAUAAUUAUUAUUAGAGGGGGAUUUAGACGUUGUACUAAAACUUUUUAUGUCUGUUGACAAGUAGAAUUUAAGUGAAACGUUUUAGUCUCCUCAAGAGCAGCUUUUACAAUUCUCGUGUCACUUCAAUUGUUACAACUUCUUUUUUUAUAUCUGUCCUUGGAAUAAAUUUUUCCGACGAUUGUGAAUGCUGCUCUUAUUGUUCCUAUUUAUAUUAAUCGGAAAUAAUUUCUACUUUGAUUUUGUUUACAUGAUUUGCUACCGCCUCAAGUUUCAGACCAAAUUUGAAGAGGGCAAUUAUUGCUGCGACUAACACGACAGCAUACAUUGCAUUGAACGGUCGUCACAUGUGCCUUAACUUCGAAGUUUCCAGUUGGAGCUGAGGUUUUAGAGGUCACAUAAUAGUGGUGACUGGGAUUGCUUUACGGACUGGACUGGUGGCGGUCUGCGGGAUUCGGAGGACAUCAAGGACAUUCUUCGUCUGAUUCUUCAGAAAUUAAUUUAACUGACAAUAAUGUAAAAUAUUUACCAUUAAGAUAGUUGUGUGUUUAUUGAAAUAUUUAAGAUUCAUUGAAUGUUGUUACAUAUUUGUGUGAUUGGAUAUGUUUUAUUAAUAAAAGCUACAUGGGGGGGGCAAGGGAAGUGCAAUAAAAUAUAAGCAUUAUUGAGCAAAAAAAAAAUUGAAGAAAAAGGUAAGUGGAAAAAUGAUGUACAAAUAAAGUGUUUUAAAUCGGUUUUCGCGCUUUAAAUUAAAAUUAAAAGUUUUAUGAUUACGUGUUGUCAAUCAUUACCAAUAUAAAAAUCACACUAAAUCGGUAACUAAAUUUAAAAAUGACGUGAACACGUGUUUAAAAAGUAGUGCCCCCCUAAAAAUCGCGCUAAAUUUGUUACAAAAUUUAAAAAUGCCACGUGUUUCUCGUACUGCCAACCUAAAAAUCGCACUAAAUAAAUUUAAAAAUGGCGCGGACACGUGUUUGUAAAGUAGACAACCCUAAAAAUCGCACUAAAUCUAAAAAUGCCACGUGAUUCUCGUACUGCCAACCUAAAAAUCGCACUAAAUAAAUUUAAAAAUGGCGCGGACACGUGUUUGUAAAGUAGACCACCCUAAAAUUCGCACUAAAUUCGUAACUAAAUUUAAAAAUGCCACGUGUUUCUCGUACUGCCAACCUAAAAAUCGCACUAAAUAAAUUUAAAAAUGGCGCGGACACGUGUUUGUAAAGUAGACCACCCUAAAAUUCGCACUAAAUCCGUAACUAAAUUUUAAAAUGCAACGUGUUUCUUGUACUGCCAACCUAAAAAUCGCACUAAAUAAAUUUAAAAAUGGCGCGGACACGUGUUUGUAAAGUAGACCACCCUAAAAUUCGCACUAAAUCCGUAACUAAAUUUUAAAAUGCCACGUGUUUCUCGUAAUGCCAACCUAAAAAUCGUACUAAAUAAAUUUAAAAAUGGCGCGGAUACGUGUUUAUAAAGUAGACCACCCUAAAAAUCGCACUAAACCUAAAAAUGCCACGUGUUUCUCGUAAUGCCAACCUAAAAAUCGCACUAAAUAAAUUUAAAAAUGGCGCGGACACGUGUUUGUAAAGUAGACCACCCUAAAAUUCGCACUAAAUCCGUAACUAAAUUUUAAAAUGCCACGUGUUUCUCGUAAUGCCAACCUAAAAAUCGUACUAAAUAAAUUUAAAAAUGGCGCGGAUACGUGUUUAUAAAGUAGACCACCCUAAAAAUCGCACUAAACCUAAAAAUGCCACGUGUUUCUCGUAAUGCCAACCUAAAAAUCGCACUAAAUAAAUUUAAAAAUGGCGCGGACACGUGUUUGUAAAGUAGACCACCCUAAAAUUCGCAGUAAAUCCGUAACUAAAUUUUAAAAUGCCCCGUGUUUCUCGUAAUGCCAACCUAAAAAUCGCACUAAAUAAAUUUAAAAAUGGCGCGGACACGUGUUUAUAAAGUAGACCACCCUAAAAAUCGCACUAAACCUAAAAAUGCCACGUGUUUCUCGUAAUGCCAACCUAAAAAUCGCACUAAAUAAAUUUAAAAAUGGCGCGGACACGUGUUUGUAAAGUAGACAACCCUAAAAAUCGCACUAAAUCUAAAAAUGCCACGUGAUUCUCGUACUGCCAACCUAAAAAUCGCACUAAAUAAAUUUAAAAAUGGCGCGGACACGUGUUUGUAAAGUAGACCACCCUAAAAUUUGCACUAAAUCCGUAACUAAAUUUAAAAAUGCCACGUGUUUUUCGUACUGCCAACCUAAAAAUCGCACUAAAUAAAUUUAAAAAUGGCGCGGACACGUGUUUGUAAAGUAGACCACCCUAAAAUUCGCACUAAAUCCGUAACUAAAUUUUAAAAUGCCACGUGUUUCUCGUAAUGCCAACCUAAAAAUCGCACUAAAUAAAUUUAAAAAUGGCGCGGACACGUGUUUGUAAAGUAGACCGCACUAAAUCUAAAAAUGCCACGUGUUUCUCGUACUGCCAACCUAAAAAUCGCACUAAAUAAAUUUAAAAAUGGCGCGGACACGUGUUUGUAAAGUAGACCACCCUAAAAUUCGCACUAAAUCCGUAACUAAAUUUUAAAAUGCCACGUGCUUCUCGUAAUGCCAACCUAAAAAUCGCACUAAAUAAAUUUCAAAAUGGCGCGGACACGUGUUUGUAAAGUAGACCACCCUAAAAUUCGCACUAAAUCCGUAACUAAAUUUUAAAAUGCCACGUGUUUCUCGUACUGCCAACCUAAAAAUCGCACUAAAUAAAUUUAAAAAUGGCGCGGACACGUGUUUGUAAAGUAGACCACCCUAAAAUUCGCACUAAAUCCGUAACUAAAUUUUAAAAUGCCACGUGUUUCUCGUACUGCCAAC